GAAAUGCGAUAAGUAAUGUGAAUUGCAGAAUUCAGUGAAUCAUCGAAUCUUUGAACGCACAUUGCGCCCCCUGGUAUUCCGGGGGGCAUGCCUGUUCGAGCGUCAUUUAAACCCUCGAGCCCGUCUCGGUGACGGUAGGCCUUAAAAUCAGUGGCGGCGCCAUCUGGCUCUAAGCGUAGUAAUACUCCUCGCUACAGAGUCCCGGUGGAUGCUUGCCAGCAACCCCCAACUUUCUAAGUUUGACCUCGGAUCAGGUAGGGAUACCCGCUGAACUUAA
rnacentral:misc_RNA from 1 species